GAAGGACUCUGUUGCUUCAUCAGUUGUGUUUUCCACUGAUGUUCUUAGAUCAACGUAGUGGUACAUAUCAUCAAAAGUACAGGACAAAUGCCAUCAAUAAAAAUGAAGGCCAAGUUAAGCCCGGGCUGCUUAAGAGAAAAACAUUGUCUUCGUGUUUGUCAGAAAUCUAGUGUCAUCUCUAAAAAAGCUUGUUCUCACCUGAGGGCGUCUGAAGAGACAGAUGAAUUUGAUGGCGGUAUUACAAAAUGUCUGGAGGGUAAGUAAUUUCUAGCUUAUUUCUUUCUUUUUAACUUAAAUGUUAUCUGAUUUUAUUAUUUAACAAUAUAUUGUUGAUUACGUUCAUAGUUUGUGGACUGCAUCUCAUGUAAAGGCUUUCUCGACCUUUGCUUU
rnacentral:misc_RNA from 1 species